GACUACUGGCAGGAUCAACCAGGUAGCAUUCCUCAGCGACGUUAGCCCGACUYCGAACCGAGCCACGUGGGCGCGGCCGAAGACCGAACCGACGGUCGUUCGCACGAARCGUAGAACGCUUUUUUGUGGUGCUCCGAGGMCGAGGCCCCGUACCCACAUGAUAUUCCAUACUCGAGAGACCGAGCAACACGUCGUGSUUCGUCRGCCUGGACGCCRUUUCACGGGCAAACAGGGYGCGAGACACGACGUGCGCUAAUUGGCCCACCCCGCRCCACCGRACCUUUGAGGGCAGCAGCACAGGACGGGAAUGGGACGAUGGUAGCCGAUAGAAUGCCCUCGCGAUAGGUAUGCAGCACAGGAAAACCRACGUCGGACGAGCACUUGYUCGCACCAACAACUGAAGAGACRCGGACGGGAYGCCGUCGCUGCCAGAGCAGGGAUCCGACAUGCCGUUGCGCGUCAAUCACCACUC
rnacentral:misc_RNA from 1 species